rnacentral:lncRNA from 1 species
UGUAGCAGUCCUGCAGGUGCUAAUGUGGAGUACUUGUGCUGUUGACAAACUUUGCAAGCAACCACAUAGUUUCUAAUAUCCUUCUUCAUACCAUUCCAAUAAAAAGUCCCGACUAUCCUCUUGUAAGUCUUAAGGAAUCCCCCAUGGCCGCCCAUUUUACUAUCAUGGCCUUCUUGUAAUGCUAACAAAAUAAUUGGAGAACCUUUAGGUAGGAUGAUCCUGUCCUUAUACAAUAAAGCCCCACUUACUAUAGCAAAUCCCGGACAGGACGAAGGGUCCACCCUUAUGGCUGAUAUGAUUCGGCUUAGUUCAGGAUCUUCUUCCUUUGCUUUUAUCACCUCCUCUAACUGUACUGUGUUCGGUAUACUAAGGGCCAUCAGUGUGGCUGCUGUUCCUCUUCUGGAUAAGGCAUCUGCGGCUUUGUUUUCCAAUCCUGGCUUGUAUUCAAUAUCUAAAUCGAAACCCAACAAUUUAGAUAACCACUUCUGAUAUUCCACAUUUACUAAGCGCUGUUCGAGUAGGAAUUUAAGACUUUU